CUCAGUAACACGUGGAUAACCUGCCCUUAGGAUUGGCAUAACACCGGGAAACUGGUGAUAAUACCGAAUAGACCAUUUAUGCUGGAAUGCUUUUUGGCUCAAAGGCUUCGGCUGCCUAAGGAUGGAUCUGCGGCCUAUCAGGUAGUAGUGGGUGUAAUGUAUCUACUAGCCUACGACGGGUACGGGUUGUGAGAGCAAGAGCCCGGAGAUGGAUUCUGAGACAUAAAUCCAGACCCUACGGGGUGCAGCAGGCGCGAAAUCUUUACAAUGCGGGAAACCGCGAUAAGGGGACACUGAGUGCCAGCAUAUUAUGUUGGCUGUCCACAUGUCUAAAAACCAUGUGUUAGCAAGGGCCGGGCAAGACCGGUGCCAGCCGCCGCGGUAACACCGGCGGCCCGAGUGGUGAUCACUUUUAUUGGGUCUAAAGGGUCCGUAGCCGGUUUAAUCAGUCUUCUGGGAAAUCUGACAGCUCAACUGUUAGGCUUUCAGGGGAUACUGUUAAGCUUGGGACCGGGAGAGGUAAGAGGUACUACAGGGGUAGGAGUGAAAUCUUGUAAUCCCUGUGGGACCGCCGGUGGCGAAGGCGUCUUACCAGAACGGGUCCGACGGUGAGGGACGAAAGCUGGGGGCACGAACCGGAUUAGAUACCCGGGUAGUCCCAGCCGUAAACGAUGUUCGCUAAGUGUCAGGGACGGUGCGACCGUUUCUGGUGCCGUAGGGAAGCCGUGAUCGGACCACCUGGGAAGUACGCCGCAAGGCUGAAACUAAAG
rnacentral:rRNA from 1 species